GGUGGUUCAGUGGUAGAGCACUUGCCUUGCAUGCAUGAGGUCCUAGGUUUGAUUCCUCAGCACCA
rnacentral:tRNA from 1 species